rnacentral:rRNA from 1 species
UACAGGACGAACGCUGGCGGCGUGCUUAACACAUGCAAGUCGUAACGAGGUCCAUGAAGUAGCAAUACUUCGGAAGACCUAGUGGCGAACGGGUGCGUAACACGUGAGGAACUUGUACCCGGUCUCUGGGAUAACAGUUGGAAACGACUGCUAAUACCGGAUGACGUCGGAGCAUCGCAUGGUGCGCUGACGAAAGGGUUACUGGAUCGGGAGAGCCUCGCGGCCUAUCAGCUUGUUGGUGGGGUAACGGCCUACCAAGGCAUCGACGGUAGCUGGUCUGAGAGGAUGAUCAGCCACACUGGGACUGAGACACGGCCCAGACUCCUACGGGAGGCAGCAGUGGGGAAUCUUGCGCAAUGGGCGAAAGCCUGACGCAGCAACGCCGCGUGCGGGAAGAAGGCUCUCGGGUUGUAAACCGCUUUCAGCAGGAACGAAAAUGACGGUACUUGCAGAAGAAGGUGCGGCCAACUACGUG